UACGGAGGGAGCUAGCGUUGUUCGGAAUUACUGGGCGUAAAGCGCACGUAGGCGGCUUUCUAAGUCAGGGGUGAAAUCCCGGGGCUCAACCCCGGAACUGCCCUUGAAACUGGAUGGCUAGAAUCCUGGAGAGGCGAGUGGAAUUCCGAGUGUAGAGGUGAAAUUCGUAGAUAUUCGGAAGAACACCAGUGGCGAAGGCGACUCGCUGGACAGGUAUUGACGCUGAGGUGCGAAAGCGUGGGGAGCGAACAGG
rnacentral:rRNA from 1 species